rnacentral:rRNA from 1 species
UACGAAGGGGGCUAGCGUUGCUCGGAAUUACUGGGCGUAAAGCGCACGUAGGCGGCUUGUUAAGUCAGGGGUGAAAUCCUGGAGCUCAACUCCAGAACUGCCUUUGAUACUGGCGAGCUUGAGUUCGGGAGAGGUGAGUGGAACUGCGAGUGUAGAGGUGAAAUUCGUAGAUAUUCGCAAGAACACCAGUGGCGAAGGCGGCUCACUGGCCCAAUACUGACGCUGAGGUGCGAAAGCGUGGGGAGCAAACAGG